ACUCGAGUGGCGAACGGGUGAGUAACACGUGGGUGAUCUGCCCUGCACUUCGGGAUAAGCUUGGGAAACUGGGUCUAAUACCGGAUAGGAGCCAUCUUUAGUGUGGUGGUUGGAAAGUUUUUUCGGUGUAGGAUGAGCUCGCGGCCUAUCAGCUUGUUGGUGGGGUAAUGGCCUACCAAGGCGGCGACGGGUAGCCGGACUGAGAGGUUGGUCGGCCACAUUGGGACUGAGAUACGGCCCAG
rnacentral:rRNA from 1 species